GGCUCCGUAGCUCAGCUGGUUAGAACGUCAGUCUAAUAAACUGGAGGUCGAGGGUUCAACCCCUUCGGAGCCU